AGAGUUUGAUCAUGGCUCAGAUUGAACGCUGGCGGCAGGCCUAACACAUGCAAGUCGAGCGGAUGAAGGGAGCUUGCUCCUGGAUUCAGCGGCGGACGGGUGAGUAAUGCCUAGGAAUCUGCCUGGUAGUGGGGGAUAACGUCCGGAAACGGGCGCUAAUACCGCAUACGCCCUGAGGGAGAAAGGGGGGGAUCUUCGGACCUCACGCUAUCAGAUGAGCCUAGGUCGGAUUAGCUAGUUGGUGGGGUAAAGGCCUACCAAGGCGACGAUCCGUAACUGGUCUGAGAGGAUGAUCAGUCACACUGGAACUGAGACACGGUCCAGACUCCUACGGGAGGCAGCAGUGGGGAAUAUUGGACAAUGGGCGAAAGCCUGAUCCAGCCAUGCCGCGUGUGUGAAGGAGGUCUUCGGAUUGUAAAGCACUUUAAGUUGGGAGGAAGGGCAGUAAGUUAAUACCUUGCUGUUUUGACGUUACCAACAGAAUAAGCACCGGCUAACUUCGUGCCAGCAGCCGCGGUAAUACGAAGGGUGCAAGCGUUAAUCGGAAUUACUGGGCGUAAAGCGCGCGUAGGUGGUUCAGCAAGUUGGAUGUGAAAUCCCCGGGCUCAACCUGAGAACUGCAUCCAAAACUACUGAGCUAGAGUACGGUAGAGGGUGGUGGAAUUUCCUGUGUAGCGGUGAAAUGCGUAGAUAUAGGAAGGAACACCAGUGGCGAAGGCGACCACCUGGACUGAUACUGACACUGAGGUGCGAAAGCGUGGGGAGCAAACAGGAUUAGAUACCCUGGUAGUCCACGCCGUAAACGAUGUCGACUAGCCGUUGGGAUCCUUGAGAUCUUAGUGGCGCAGCUAACGCGAUAAGUCGACCGCCUGGGGAGUACGGCCGCAAGGUUAAAACUCAAAUGAAUUGACGGGGGCCCGCACAAGCGGUGGGGCAUGUGGUUUAAUUCGAAGCAACGCGAAGAACCUUACCUGGCCUUGACAUGCUGAGAACUUUCCAGAGAUGGAUUGGUGCCUUCGGGAACUCAGACACAGGUGCUGCAUGGCUGUCGUCAGCACGUGUCGUGAGAUGUUGGGUUAAGUCCCGUAACGAGCGCAACCCUUGUCCUUAGUUACCAGCACCUCGGGUGGGCACACUAAGGAGACUGCCGGUGACAAACCGGAGGAAGGUGGGGAUGACGUCAAGUCAUCAUGCCCCUUACGGCCAGGGCUACACACGUGCUACAAUGGUCGGUACAAAGGGUUGCCAAGCCGCGAGGUGGAGCUAAUCCCAUAAAACCGAUCGUAGUCCGGAUCGCAGUCUGCAACUCGACUGCGUGAAGUCGGAAUCGCUAGUAAUCGUGAAUCAGAAUGUCACGGUGAAUACGUUCCCGGGCCUUGUACACACCGCCCGUCACACCGUGGGAGUGGGUUGCUCCAGAAGUAGCUAGUCUAACCGCAAGGGGGACGGUUACCACGGAGUGAUUCAUGACUGGGGUGAAGUCGAAACAAGGUA
rnacentral:rRNA from 1 species